CAAAAUUGAAAUUAUCCCAUGCUAACUUUUAACCCAACUUGCCAACCAAUCUUACUUUCUACUUUCGGUGCCCACCCUUUUUGACUUUUCAAACAAUGGGUGGGUUCCAAUACUCUACCACUCCAACGUCUCGUCAACAUGUUGAUUGAGUAUGAAAAUCGAUAGAUGCGUGCAGUACAAGACGUGUUUCUUCAUGCCAACCUUCUUGAAUCUGGUCCAUUGCUGCCACUGGUUGAUUCGGUGCGUGGUGGUCACCCACCGUCUGGAGGUCGCGGGAGAAGGUUCUGAUCCUGCAUAUAGUGUCAAAUUUGCAGACGAUUUGGACACGUAGCUCAGAUAUGCUUUUACUGAUAUAAUCGAGACUUUGAUAGCCCACCGUCAGUGGAUCAGGGUUCAAAUCGUACCGAUCGUCCUAGUCCAGGCUUGGUUGUUGGUUUCUC
rnacentral:lncRNA from 1 species